GGCUGAAAUUGACCCAGAACGGGGCCCGGGCCGGCCAAGAACGGCGGUGACCGGGGGGACACCGGUGCUGCGGGGAGAUAAGGGAAGAAAAGAUGUGGCUACGAUGUGUAUUUACAGACUUACUUCAGCGGAAAGCUCAGGGAGCAGCGGCCAGGGCUCAGCUGCGCUGAGGGGACUGCCCCACCUGCAGCAACAGCAUCACCAGCGGCACGGCGUGGGCAAACCAGGACCACUUGUGCGAGAAGGAAAAGGCGACAAAACCAGCUGGAUUAACGGGAAAAACCAGCUGGAUUAAUGAGAGUUGCUUGUCGUUCCCCACGAGGGGCCCUGGGGCCCCGAACCCCGCGGGGACAGCCCCACCGGAGCAGCGGUGGGUCCCCGGCGCAUCCCGCCCCAGAGCACGGAUGGGAAAAUUGAGAGGAAAAAAGGUCCCAAGGCAGUGUGCACUGACAUUUCCAUGAAAUGCAGCCACACGAGUCUCACCUCUAGACACAAACCCGGAAAUUUUAAAAGCAGUUUUGUGCACACUGAACACCUUCCUACUUCUCUGAUCCUCCACCACACUCCCCUUUACAACGCUUACAGUUGGAAUAGUAAAGCCUUUUAUAGACAUAAUAAUAUUUCUGCUUAUAUUGUUCUAGACUUUGCAGGGUUUUUUACAGAAAAAAAAAAGAUUUAUGUACAAACAUAGACAAAAGCUCAAAAUAGUGAGUUUUUCCAUGUUAAUUAAAAGUUUGGACAAAGCCAGAGAACUGUUUUUCUCUUUCUUGCAAUGCAGGACAAUUAUUCAAUACCAUUUUUAGUGUCUGUAAAUUGAAUAAAUUGUUGUGUUGGUUUCAGCCUGGCUUUUACCGCCUGCUGCUCUGGAGAAUACAGGAACCCUGCUGCAAAAUCCAGCUCCAGCUGAUUGUUAACUACACCAAGAUGUGGUUUAACAAAGUCACUGGAGCCUAUGCCUUUGACAUUUUUGCCACUUGAUCUCUUGAAGGAUGGAUCUACCAAUCAUAAAGCAUAAACAGAUUCCCUAAACUAUUAAAGAAUUUCCUAGAAGAUCAAAAGCCACACACCUAUUUCAUAAAAAUGUAAAGCCAAGAAAUUAAUAAAUGCUGUGACGUGAAUUCAUA